rnacentral:lncRNA from 1 species
UCUUGCCUCCCCUGUACAUCUUGUGGGUCUUUCCGUCGAGCUGGGGGAGCUCGAUCUCGGGGGCGGUGGCGGGGUAUGUGACGGGGAUGUCGAACUGGAGAGCGAACUCGUAACGGCGGAGGUUGUGGACGUACCAGCAGGUGCCGGACCAGCGGGUGCCCUCGGGGUUGGCGGCCGAGAUGCGGAACCAGUCGUUGUCGUGGGACUUGUUCAUGGUGGUGUAGGCGAUCAGGGCGCGGUACUCCUCCUUCAGCCGCUGCGUCCACGCCGCCCCGUCUCGCGGGCCCGCCCGCGUCGACAGCAGCGGGAUCUGCGUCAAAGCCGACUU